CCGGUUGUAGCUCAGUUGGUAGAGCACUUGACUGUAGAUCAGGUAGUCGGCGGUUCGAUUCCGUCCAACCGGA